UACAGAGGUCCCAAGCGUUGUUCGGAUUCACUGGGCGUAAAGCGUGCGCAGGCGGCUAUGCAAGACAGAUGUGGAAUCCCCGGGCUCAACCUGGGAACUGCAUUUGUGACUGCAUAGCUAGAGUACGGUAGAGGGGGAUGGAAUUCCGCGUGUAGCAGUGAAAUGCGUAGAUAUGCGGAGGAACACCGAUGGCGAAGGCAAUCCCCUGGACCUGUACUGACGCUCAUGCACGAAAGCGUGGGGAGCAAACAGG
rnacentral:rRNA from 1 species